AGCGAACGCUGGCGGCAGGCCUAACACAUGCAAGUCGAGCGCCGUAGCAAUACGGAGCGGCAGACGGGAUAGUAACACGUGGGAACGUGCCCUUUGGUUCGGAAUAACUCAGGGAAACUUGAGCUAAUACCGGAUAAGCCCUUACGGGGAAAGAUUUAUUGCCAUUGGAGCGGCCCGCGUCGGAUUAGCUAGUUGGUGAGGUAAUGGCUCACCAAGGCGACGAUCCGUAGCUGGUCUGAGAGGAUGACCAGCAUCACUGGGACUGAGACACGGCCCAGACUCCUACGGGAGGCAGCAGUGGGGAAUAUUGGACAAUGGGCGCAAGCCUAAUCCAGCCAUGCCGCGUGGAUGAUGAAGGCCCUAGGGUUGUAAAGUCCUUUUAACGGGGAAGAUAAUGACGGUACCCGUAGAAUAAGCCCCGGCUAACUUCGUGCCAGCCGCCGCCGUAAGAC
rnacentral:rRNA from 1 species